rnacentral:rRNA from 1 species
GUGUGUUUCUUAUCUAUCAGCUGAAGUUGUUUCAGUAAGGGUAAAACACGGCGAUUACGGAUACGGGGGAUCAGUGUCUGAUUCCGGAGAGGGAGCCUGAGAAAUGGCUACUACAUCUAAGGACGGCAGCAGGCGCGAAAAUUACCCAAUCUCAAUUCGAGGAGGUAGUGACAAGAAAUAACAACUUUACACCAUUUGGUGGAAAGGUACUAUCUAAUAGUUUGGAAUGGUUUUAGAUUAAAAUUCUAUUAGAGUAACGACUAGAGGAAAAGUCUGGUGCCAGCACCCGCGGUAAUUCCAGCUCUAGUAGCGUAUAUUAAUACUGUUGUAGUUAAAACGCUCGUAGUUGACCUAAGGACUAUAGGUUUUGAUUCGGUGUUAGCCCGUUCUUAUGUAGUUCCGUGUUAUAACGGGGUUGCAUGGAAUGAGGUUGAUAUCCGCGGCAUGUGUCCCCAUAGACUUUGUCCGUGGGUGUUCAUGUGUGGGUUUUUACCUGUAGUCCGAUCCUUGCCAAUGGUUCGCCAUUGGUAAAGGCCUUAUGGUGCAACUGUAAACAAAUCAGAGUGCUCAAAGCAGGCAUUGUUAAUGGGGAUUUAUCCUCAGUUUUGCUUGAAUGAUUUAGCAUGGGAUUGUCUUGGAGCCGUGAAUAAUGCCCUUCAGCAAUGGAGGAACGUUGUCCACUGGCGCUUGUAAUGUGAAGCAGGGAGAGGGCUCAAGUACUAUGGUGCUAGAGGUGAAAUUUAGAUACCAGCAUAUGACUUUCUGAUGCGAAAGCUGUUAUUGUCCAAUACACUUCUUUCGAUCGGGGACGAAAGUUAGGGGAUCGAAGAUGAUUAGAUACCGUCGUAGUCCUAACUAUAAACGAUACCAACAAGAGAUUGGUAGUGAAACCAUUUAAGAUCCUCUCAGAAUCCAAGGGAAACCUAAAGUCUUUGGGUUCUGGGGGGAGUAUAGUCGCAAGGCCGAAACUUAAAGGAAUUGACGGAAAGGCACCACCAGGAGUGGAGUUUGCGGCUUAAUUCGACCCAACGCGGGAAAACUCACCAGGACAGGACAGAGGUAUGAUUGACAGGUUGAAAGUCUUUUCUUGAUUCUCUGGAUGGUGGUGCAUGGCCGUUCUUAGUUCGUGGAGUGAUUUGUCUUGUUAAUUCAGUUAACGAACGAGACCUUAACCUACUAACUAGGCUAUAGGCUAGCUUUACGGCUAGUCAGUUUCUAUGGAGUGGUUCGUAUGAGCCAUUUCUUGAAACCUAU